rnacentral:rRNA from 1 species
AAUAUUGGACAAUGGUCGCAAGACUGAUCCAGCCAUGCCGCGUGAAGGACUGAAGGUUCUAUGAAUUGUAAACUUCUUUUGUAUGGGAAAAACCCCCUGGACGUGUCCGGGGCUGAUUGUACCAUAAGAAUAAGGGUCGGCUAACUUCGUGCCAGCAGCCGCGGUAAGACGAAGGACCCGAGCGUUAUCCGGAUUCAUUGGGUUUAAAGGGUGCGUAGGCGGACUGAUAAGUCAGUGGUGAAAUCUCCAGGCUUAACUUGGAAACUGCCAUUGAUACUGUCAGUCUUGAAUCUGGCUGAUGUGGGCGGAAUAUGACAUGUAGCGGUGAAAUGCUUAGAUAUGUCAUAGAACACCGAUUGCGAAGGCAGCUCACAAAACCAGUAUUGACGCUGAGGCACGAAAGUGCGGGGAUCAAAC